CCAAUAGCGUAUAUUAAAGUUGUUGCAGUUAAAAAGCUCGUAGUUGAAUUUUGGGUUUGGCCGAUUGGUCCGUUCUUGUAACGAGUACUGGUCGGUUGGGCCUCACCGCCUGGUGAUGCGUAAUGUCCUUUAUUGGGUGUUGCGAGUAGUCAGGACCUUUACCUUGAAAAAAUUAGAGUGUUUAAAGCAGGCUUAUGCCGGAAUACAUUAGCAUGGAAUAAUAGAAUAGGACGAUGAUUCUAUUUUGUUGGUUUCUAGGAGCAUCGUAAUGAUUAAUAGGGAUAGUUGGGGGCAUUAGUAUUCAAUUGUCAGAGGUGAAAUUCUUGGAUUUAUUGAAGACUAACUACUGCGAAAGCAUUUGCCAAGGAUGUUUUCAUUAAUCAAGAACGAAAGUUAGGGGAUCGAAGACGAUCAGAUACCGUCGUAGUCUUAACCAUAAACUAUGCCGACUAGGGAUCGGGCGAUGUUGUUUCAAUGACUCGCUCGGCACCUUAUG
rnacentral:rRNA from 1 species